UUGGGUUAAGUCCCGCAACGAGCGCAACCCUUAUCCUUUGUUGCCAGCGGUCCGGCCGGGAAACUCAAAGGAGACUGCCAGUGAUAAACUGGAGGAAGGUGGGGAUGACGUCAAGUCAUCAUGGCCCUUACGACCAGGGCUACACACGUGCUACAAUGGCGCAUACAAAGAGAAGCGACCUCGCGAGAGCAAGCGGACCUCAUAAAGUGCGUCGUAGUCCGGAUUGGAGUCUGCAACUCGACUCCAUGAAGUCGGAAUCGCUAGUAAUCGUGGAUCAGAAUGCCACGGUGAAUACGUUCCCGGGCCUU
rnacentral:rRNA from 1 species